rfam:Camelus ferus unplaced genomic scaffold scaffold413, whole genome shotgun sequence.
GAGGGUAUAGCUCAGGUGGUAGAGUGCUUGGUUAGCAUGCAGGAGGUCCUGGGUUCAAUCCCCAGUACCUACU